CCUACGGGUGACUGCAGUGAGGAAUAUUGGUCAAUGGGCGGGAGCCUGAACCAGCCAAGUCGCGUGAGGGAAGACGGUCCUACGGAUUGUAAACCUCUUUUGCCGGGGAGCAAAGCGCACCACGUGUGGUUCAUUGCGAGUACCCGAAGAAAAAGCAUCGGCUAACUCCGUGCCAGCAGCCGCGGUAAUACGGAGGAUGCGAGCGUUAUCCGGAUUUAUUGGGUUUAAAGGGUGCGCAGGCGGAGGUGCAAGUCAGCGGUCAAAUUGCGGGGCUCAACCCCGUACUGCCGUUGAAACUGCAUCCCUUGAGUGCGCGAGAAGUAUGCGGAAUGCGUGGUGUAGCGGUGAAAUGCAUAGAUAUCACGCAGAACUCCGAUUGCGAAGGCAGCAUACCGGCGCGCAACUGACGCUCAUGCACGAAAGCGUGGGUAUCGAACAGGAUUAGAUACCCCAGUAGUC
rnacentral:rRNA from 1 species